GUUACUCUGUUCUUUUGGACUUAAUACACUAGAUGCAUGCUGGAUAGCGGUCGACGUGUGGAGUAAUAGUAGUAGAUGUAGAAAGUAUCGGUCUACUUGUUUUGGAUGUGAUGCCUAUAGAUAUAAUCAUUGCCUUAGAUAACGUCAUGACUUUGCGCGGUUCUAUUAAUUGCUCGACAGUAAUUCGUUCACCCACCGUCUACUUGCUUUCAUGAGAGAAGCCACUAGUGAACA
rnacentral:lncRNA from 1 species